UACGUAGGGUGCAAGCGUUGUCCGGAAUUAUUGGGCGUAAAGAGCUCGUAGGCGGUCUGUCACGUCGGCUGUGAAAUCCCGAGGCUCAACCUCGGGUCUGCAGUCGAUACGGGCAAACUAGGGUAUUGCAGGGGAGACUGGAAUUCCUGGUGUAGCGGUGAAAUGCGCAGAUAUCAGGAGGAACACCGGUGGCGAAGGCGGGUCUCUGGGCAAUAACUGACGCUGGAGGAGCGAAAGCGUGGGGAGCGAACAGG
rnacentral:rRNA from 1 species